UACGUAGGCAGCGAGCGUUGUUCGGAAUUACUGGGCGUAAAGGGUGUGUAGGUGGUGUCGUAAGUUUGGUGUGAAAUCUCCCGGCUUAACUGGGAGGGUGCGCCGAAGACUGCGAUGCUAGAGUAUGGGAGAGGUAAGCGGAAUUCCUGGUGUAGCGGUGAAAUGCGUAGAUAUCAGGAGGAACACCUGUGGUGUAGACGGCUUACUGGACCAUCACUGACACUGAAACACGAAAGCGUGGGUAGCAAACAGG
rnacentral:rRNA from 1 species